CAGUAGCCACGGUAAUACCGAGGGUGCAAGCGUUAAUCGGAAUUACUGGGCGUAAAGCGCGCGUAGGUGGUUUGUUAAGUUGGAUGUGAAAUCCCCGGGCUCAACCUGGGAACUGCAUCCAAAACUGGCAAGCUAGAGUAUGGUAGAGGGUGGUGGAAUUUCCUGUGUAGCGGUGAAAUGCGUAGAUAUAGGAAGGAACACCAGUGGCGAAGGCGACCACCUGGACUGAUACUGACACUGAGGUGCGAAAGCGUGGGGAGCAAACAGGAUUAGAUACCCCAGUAGUCCCUGUCUCUUAUAC
rnacentral:rRNA from 1 species